rnacentral:lncRNA from 1 species
AGCAGCUUUGCCUUUGACAAAAGAGGGUGCACAGGGAGACUUAUGAAGAUGAAACUGGUAUAAUCCAUCUUUAAGAGUGCCCUUGAGUAGAGUUGCUUGUGUUUCCUGAUCCUUAACAAGACAAAAAAGAGGAUGAAAUUCAAAAAACACUUUAUUAUCUAAGGCAAACUGAGAAACGCUUAGGAGGUUUUUCUUUAUUUGAGGUACAUGUAGAAGGUUCUUUAGGAAGAAGUGUUUUGGAUGUAAGGAAGAAGAAAGCACAGAAUCACCAACAUGUGAAAUACUAACAAGAGAACCAUUACCCAUUUGCAAUUUCUUACCUCCUUGAUAGUCAGAAACAGAGUGGAAAGCAUUAUAAUCAUGUGAAACAUGAUUUGUUGCGCCUGAAUCUGGAUACCAAACCGAAGAGCUGGCGUUGUCAUACCACUGAUCAGAGGUAGUGGAUGAAGGAGGUAGAUGCGCUAUGUUUAAGCCAGGCUGAUGGGAAGGAAAACCAUGUUGCUGUGGAAAGCUAGACUGAAAGUUGCCUUGUCCAGUAGAAGUAGGAGGUCGUGUGGUGUUGUUUCUUGGUGCACCAGGAACAAAAUUGGACUCAUACCUGUGCCAGCACCUAUCAGCAGUGUGUCCUGGUAUACCACACACUUGGCAGAUGGGUUUGUU